CCCAAAUCCCUUCUCUCUCUCUAUCUGGCUCUCGUCUAAUCCCUAACACAAUCGCACUUGCGUGGGUUGCGUUCUCUCUUUUUUUCCAUGGCAGCUUCGUUGGCUUGCGUGACUGACACGGCUCCCCCCCCCCGCCCAAGGCGGCAACCCAUCUGAAGCUAAUCUCUGUCAUCGUAAUCUUCUUUACUAGCGUUAUAGGCAUCUCUUCUCCGGUAUUCUUAGCUCGUUAUUUUCAUGGUAAGCCCCUUUACGAUAAGGCGAUUCUAGUGAUCAAAUGCUUUGCUGCCGGUGUAAUUUUGUCCACCUCUUUAGUACACGUCCUCCCUGAUGCUUACGAUGCCCUCUCUAAUUGCCACGUAGCCUCCAAGCAUCCCUGGAAGGACUUUCCUUUCGCUGGAUUGGUUACCUUGAUCGGUGCUUUACUUGCUUUGUUAGUGGACAUAACGGCGAGUGCGCACGUGGAACACAGUCAUGGUCAUGGCCAUGGCGGUGAAGAGAAGCAGAUUGGGGAUUAUACUCCGGUUGGGACACAGGAGGAAAUUGUGGGAAAGAAGGUGGGAGAAUUGUCCAAAGCUGAGUUGGCUGAGAAAGGAGGAGAGGAAUAUUUGGUGAAGCUAAAGCAGAGAUUGGUUUCACAGGUUUUGGAGAUUGGGAUUAUAUUUCACUCAGUGAUAAUUGGGGUAACAAUGGGUAUGUCGCAGAAUCAGUGCACCAUCAGGCCUCUUGUUGCUGCUCUUGCGUUUCACCAGAUCUUCGAAGGGAUGGGCCUCGGUGGCUGCAUCGCUCAGGCAGGAUUUAGCUUUGGAACAGUGGCCUACAUGUGCUUCAUGUUUUCAGUAACUACACCAGUAGGUAUAGUGUUAGGGAUGAUUGUUUUUUCAUUGACAGGGUAUGAUGACAGUAAUCCUAAUGCCUUGAUUAUGGAAGGAUUAUUGGGGUCCCUCUCUUCAGGCAUUCUUAUAUACAUGGGUCUUGUUGAUCUCAUAGCUGUUGAUUUUUUCCAUAACAAGUUGAUGAAUUCUACUCCAUGGUUGAAGAAGACAUCUUUCAUUGCUCUAACUCUUGGCUCCACUGCAAUGUCCAUCCUUGCCCUUUGGGCUUGAAGUUUAGUUUAGUUUCUUAGGGACGCAUGUAUUUCAAAAUCUUUAGAAUCAUGCAUGUCCAUACAAACGUGUAAAAGAUCAAAAUACACUGUUCCAUAUCAUCAAGGGAUUAGCAUCGAACUGUUGGACAAUCACAGGGC
rnacentral:misc_RNA from 1 species